UACGGUGGGUGCGAGCGUUAAUCGGAAUAACUGGGCGUAAAGGGUACGCAGGCGGGCUUUUAAGUGAGAUGUGAAAUCCCCGGGCUUAACCUGGGAAUAGCAUUUGAGACUGGGAGUCUAGAGUACUUUAGGGAGGGGUAGAAUUCCACGUGUAGCGGUGAAAUGCGUAGAGAUGUGGAGGAAUACCGAAGGCGAAGGCAGCCCAUUGGGAAUGUACUGACACUCAUGUGCGAAAGCGUGGGGAGCAAAAAGG
rnacentral:rRNA from 1 species